AUGCUAUCUCGACCACUUCGUCCCGCGUCGUCGACGAGAUACGCGGCUGAAAGAUCGCCGGCCGGGGUCCAGAAGCCCAACACUGGGAGGUCCAAUGGAAGGAUGGCUAAACCAGACUGGGAUGAUCCGGAUAGCGGUCCUUUUAAGCUUUGCUGCGCAUCUUCUCCUCAUCCUCCUCGCCGGGAUCCGUCGGCGAAAAGCCUCCGGUGGGCGAACGCUCCUUCUAUGGCUGGCCAUCUCGGCGGCCCGGACAACAUCAGCGCCUACUCCCUGGAGGACAACGUGCUGUCAGGGCGGCAAGCACUCAACGUGUUGGUGCAGGUCGGGGGUGCCAUCUAUGUCGUGUACAAGCACAUAUACCUGGGCGGCGGUGACAGGGCCUUGCUUCCAUCAUCCAUCGCCAUUCUCGCCGUCGGUGUUGCCAAGUAUGUGGAGAGGGUACUGGCGCUAUGGCAAGGCAACCUGGGCAACAUCCGGAGCUCAAGCAAGAAGAAGAAGAAGAGGCAACGAAGGAGAUACACAUACACUGAUGGCUCGGGCUCCGGAAGCGGAACGGUGCUGGACAAUGAGCAAGCCCUGAUGGUUGCCCACGACAUGUUCCCGUUCUGCCAGCGUGCAAUGACCGAUUCUUCUGUCAACAUGGAUUCAUCUGACCUUGAAGCAACCAAGGUCAUGUUCUCUUUUGGGUGGGAGAGUAUGUGCAAGGUGGUGGAGAUGGAGCUUUCUCUCAUGUACGCCAUCCUCUACACCAAGGCAGCCAUGGUUCACUCCUGGGUCGGCUACUCGAUCCGGCUUGUCUCACCGGUCGCCACCUUCACGGCGUUGGUUCUGUUUGUGCUGUACGGCAAAGACGGCCAGAGGAGAGCAGAUGUGGUCAUCACCUACACCUUGCUGGUAGGUACUUUGAUCCUGGACAUGAGAUGGCUUCUCAGCGCACUUGGGUCUACCUGGAUGCACGCAUUCUUGGAGGCUAGGCCACGGGCAUGGCUUCACCACGAGGCUCUGUGCUCUGGGAGAUGGCGCCGGCUCUGUCGUGCCGUCGUGUCCCUGGAUCUUGGCCGGUUAGCCCUCGGCAUGGCGCCAGGCCGCUACAGAAUGUGGUCGGGCACCAUCGGGCAGUACAGCCUGCUGCACGAGUGCACCCGUGAGACGAUGCCUCUAUGCGGGAGAGCGGCCAAGAAGCUUGGAUUGGAAGAUGGGUGGAAGGAACACCACCACUCUGAGCGCCUUAAGCUCUCGCAAGAAGUCAAGAUGUUGGUGUUCGGACGUGCACGGAAGAUACUCAUCAAGUCAACCUACGACCACGGGAAGGAUAAGGUCGGGGAUGAUGAUGCAUACUCCAUGAAUGAAAUCACCACAUUUUGGGGCCAGGCGGCAGUCAAGAGGCGUCCGGUGAAACUGCGGAGAUUCCAGCUGGCCUUUGGCCGUGAGUUCCAGGAGGACAUCCUUGUGUGGCACAUCGCCACCCAAGUUUUCCUCAUGUGCGGCGGCGGUCAAUCACUGAUGCAUGGCAAGAGCGCAGCUGCGGCACAUGCCAAGGCGAUCAAGGCGCUGUCCGAGUACCUGAUGUUCCUCGUCGCCGUGCGCCGGCGCAUGCUACCGGCCCUCGUUCUCCGCAGCCUGUAUGAAGUAACCUUCGAUUCUUUGCAGGACAUUUGGCGCAAACAGGCCGUCAACAGCCGUUCCGGUUCGACGACAACCGGCAGGGCGAGGGAGGGGAAGCUUGCAAGGACUCUCCGUGACAAGAUGGACGCAGAUGGCGAGUGGGGUUUGGAUCAUGAUAAAACCCGUCUCGUCUCCGACGGAGCAAAUAUUGCCAUGGCGCUGCUGGAGGCCGAUGAGUCGGAGAUGCCGGAGGUGCUGGAGCUCGUCUUCAACGUGUGGGUGGACAAGCUGUUGUACGCGGGCACCCGAUGCAGCCGGGAGUCCCAUGCCAGGCAGCUCAGCCGAGGGGGCGAGCUCACGACCGUCGUCUGGAUUUUGGCAGAACAUGUUGGCCCAUUUCAGAUCGGCCAAUGCGUUCCAGAUGAUAAGAAACGGGAUCUUCCUCCACCGUGCCCGCUUCCGAUACCCAAGGCCAUGGAGGAACCUUAUCCGCCACCGUUCAUGAUGUAUCUUCCGCCGUCGACCGCACCGUGGCUACCGUCGCCGCAAUACGACGAACCACCCAAAAAGGAGGAACCUUGUCCGCCGCCGUUCAUGUAUCCUCCACCGUCGACUGCACCGUGGCCACCACUGCCGGAGAGUCCGCUGCCGCCACCACCGCCACCAGCGCCACCCAUGGAGAGGCGUAGACGGUAUGCUACGCUGUAUCCAGUGGACUGA
rnacentral:rRNA from 1 species